rnacentral:sRNA from 1 species
UAACCAUGGCAAAUGCUGAGCAUCAACACCGUUGGAACUCAUCAAUAGAAUAUAUAUAUCGUCAGUGAAUAUCAUUCAUUGAAGCAGAUAAGUAGGUAGGUAGGCAGAUAACUCAGGGGUAAGAAUACGGGGUAUCUGGGUCAAGUUGGGUCCAAUGCAGGAGGAAAAGUGGAGAUUGUUCAGUAUUUGAAUCAAUCAGAUGUCCAGAAAUCUUCAAAUCGUCGAGAUUCAAGCCGCAUUUUCGUACACAUUGACAUCCAAUCAUUUCAGCCAUAAAAUGAAGCAACUUUUGAGCCCCGAGCUUUGUAUGAUUCUUAGUUUAGUUAAUAAGGUGGAAAAAAGAUGAAUUGAACUUUUUUUUUUAAUAAACUAUUUAAGAAGUAUGAAAUGCACUUGACAAGAGCUAUAUUGAUAGACUUAUUAAAUUUAUAUCUUGAUGGUUGAAGACAGUUAGAAAAGCUAAGAGCUGAUAUACAAAAUAUCAAUUCUAUAUCAUUUAAAAGUUAUUGAAUUAAAUUGAAGUUAUGGUUGUUGAGAUAUUCAAUUUUUUAUAAGGAUGGAUUUUGGUGAUUUUAGAAGUGUAAACAGGCUUUUGAACCAUAGGUGUAUUCGAGACAAAUUUGGGAUACUUUGUCCUAGGAGGUACCUGUACCUAUACCCUAGGGUUUUCGAUAGCUUCGCCCCAAGGAUGGAAGACAAAUAAGCGUUCGAACAUAUAGAAACAUAAAAGGACUGACAAUAGAGAAACGCCCGUGGGGGAGAAACUGAGAUUUAGAAACUGGAGACAGGAGACAUUUAGGAAAUCAAAGUUAUCAAAUAAGUCUCAUUGCUUUAUCGGUGAUACCAUCUCAGUAGGAAUCAUAUGGGGCUAUGUAACGAGGAGGGGAACCGGUGGAAGAAGGCGGUAGAAGGAAAUUAAAAGGCGCUUUUAGGAUAGCAGAUCGUGGGUCUCGUAAGUCAUUUGAAAAACGGUAGUGGCAAUGUGCACAAGAAUGUAAGAAAUAUGUGAUGGGGAUAGACCGUGGAGCUGGAUGUCUCUUGUUCGAGGUGAGCAAUUAUAUGUCAAGCAUAUGUUCGGUUGGUGACACGCCUC